CCCAGCCGGUGCGGGAGAGCUCUUUGUUUAGUGGACUGAAGAGGAUUCCGAUAUUUCAACAGAUGUUGCGUCCAUAUUUGCUCAGUAGUUACUGGAACAUGAUAAGGCGCGAGUGGAAAUGAAUACGUCGGUUUGAUCAGCUGCUCAUAUCACUUGUUACCGAAUAACUAAUCGAAGGUACGGGUUUAGGUAGGCCUGCAAACGUUCAUAUGCGGGUGUAGUGAUUGCGAAGGCUGCAUGCAUGAUGGAUGACAUAUAUGCAUUGGCAGGAUCUGGAAGAGUUGAUGGAGAUCACGUAUAGACAGGCGUACUUUGAUUCAUCAAGGGAACAAUCAUACCAGUACCUAUCGUUUUUCUUUGCCUUUCGGACGUUUCUCACUCUAAGUUAGCUAACAGUUCAGACGCCUUCAUCAUCAUACUUUGACGAGUAUGACAUAAUUAGACACCGAUUUCGGGAUCACGAUCGUGCCGCCAAGUCCGGCCUCAACAUGUCUCCUCUCACAAUCGACAACGCGGCAGUUGUCUUUUUCGCCAGCGUACUCUUUAUGUUGAUGCUGGCAAACAUCAUGGUCGUUAUAACUGUUUUCCGCCUCAACCGAAACAACGACGACGACAACGAUAAAGGUCGUCUGGUGUGCAGCGGAUGUGAGAUCAUUGCAGGCGUCUGUAAUAUAAACGCUUGGUUGAUAUUUUUUGUGUCCAUUUUGAUAUACGAUUCCCACUCGCCAAAAUGUGAACGAUGGGCGCAUUGCAAGGGCUUCAACACGAUUCUACAGAUCGUCAGCUGCAUAUACAAUAUCUGCUUAUGCCAAACCCUCCUUUGCAAACCAUUGCAAUAUUUCAGGCGUGUCAAAGCACGAUUUUCAUCAACACUCUUUCGAAACGCCUUGUUUGUUCUGAUGCCAGUGAUCAUCGCCUUCUAUUGGUUGAUGGCAAUUUUAGUUGAUCGAAUGCAUGGGACGCAAAUCUACGAAUCUCAAGCAGCCAUUUUGGAUUUACCCGGAUAUGAAUCAGUUGUCCUUGACCUUGGGAAUACCACAACUCGGAACCCGAGCGGUGUCGUAAUUGUCGACUGUCUCCCUGGUAGUGACUGUGUCGUUGUCCCGGAUUCAUUCAGACUCUGUCCCGAGCGGAUGUCCAGGAUAACUGAUCUUGUCUUCGACUAUGUAGUUCUGGUGCUGCCGAUCUCGAUUCCGAUCCUGUGGGCGUGGACCAAGGUCGAAAAUACGCAGAUCAGUCGGGAUGAGGAGUCGUGUCAGUUAGACCAACGCGAAGCUGAAGGGGCUUCUCAAGUCGCCGCCCAUCACGCGUCACGCUGCCCUUACAAGAAGGUGGAGAACUUCGUCUGCUGUCUGCUCAAGAUGAACUUCCAGUGGCAAUUCUUGCUACGCCCUCUAUUGCUGAUAAUCUGCAUACUUAAAGGUCAGGAUUUCUUCCUGGACAUGGGAGACAGACUGAUUGUAACGUGGAUUGUAGCGUUUGUGCCGUUAGUAACAAUUUUCGGGAAAUAUUUUGUCGGAAUGGGGACGGAGCGCAAAGGCAAGAAGGACCAAAAGAACGGAUCUUUUUCGAGCGAAGUUAAAUGCAACUCAAAAGAAGUUAAGGGCGUACUUUUUUCUAUCAUGAUGGUAGAUGAAGCGCCGAAGAAAAGACACGAUUUGGACUCGAUACAUCAAUUCCCUCAAGCAUAAGUGAUCCGAUCUGCAUGAUUUUAGUAUCCUCAAUGCUUCUAUUCGCGUUCGACUGCGCGCGUACGCCUAAAAGGGCAAGCGCUAAAGAUGGUCUUAGAAUUUAAAGACCGUCCUUGAAUUAAGAGACGAAAUGCAACCAUCCGUGCCACUCGCUGGAAUAGCCAUAAACAAAUAACAUGAAUAACAAUUGAUAAUGUCGGCGAUUUGUAGCAGUUGAGUUCGAACCUUAUCGCGGAAAAAAACGACGUCUCCGAAUCCGUUUUGAAAGUGGAGGCCAAUUUUCAUAGUACAUUGGACUUGCGGUCAAUAAUGCGUUAAAUAUUCUUGCAUUUACAUUUAGUGCAUUUUCAGAUAUACCGAAGUGCAACAAUCCUAAUGUCUCUGUCUUCUUGGCGGUAUUUCGUCGUGAAAUAGGUUUGGUUCCGUGUAAACAGUCCUACUCUCUGGCAUGUCUUGUACGGUUGUUACCUUCUUGCUCCUCUGCAUGUACCAGACGUCCUGUUCAAAAGCAUUUCGGUGACCUUCUCUCGUCCAUUCCGAAACGCGAUAUCAAGGCCAGUGUCCCCACAGCAGUCCUGCAGGUUAACGUCUGCUCCCCGCCUUGCAAGCAGCCGCACUACCUCCACUGGUCCAGCAUCAACCGCCUGGUGCAGCGGUGUUCGCCCGAAGCCGUCGACCUGGUUGAUAUCUGCUCCGUGGUUCAGGAGAAACAGGCACAGAUCCAAACUCUGUACAGACUUGUGCAGGCAUGUUUCACCAUUUGCGUUCGGCUUUUGUAAAUUAGCCCCAUGUGCAGAGAGAUAUUU